rnacentral:rRNA from 1 species
GAUGAACGCUGGCGGCGUGCCUAAUACAUGCAAGUCGAGCGAACAGACGCGGAGUUUGUUCCUCUGACGUUAGCGGCGGACGGGUGAGUAACAUGUGGAUAACCUACCUAUAAGUCUGGGAUAACUUCGGGAAACCGGCGCUAAUACCGGAUAAUAUAUUGAACCGUAUGGUUCAAUAGUGAAAGACGGUUUUGCUGUCACUUCUCGAUGGAUCCGCGCCGCAUUAGCUAGUUGGUAAGGUAACGGGUUAUCAAGGCAACGAUGCGUAGCCGACGUGCUAGACGGUUCGGCCGCCUUGGAGCGUAAACUCAGCCCAUGCUCCUACGGUAGGGAACAGAAGUUGAUCUGCCGCAGUAGGCGGAAAUCUGACAGAACAGCGCCACGGAAGUUGCGGAGAUCUUCCGAGCGGAAAACUCGGUUAUGAGGUAAAAACAAAUGUGGAAGUAGCUAAGCACGGCGUGACGGUACCGAAUCAGAAAGCCACGGCUAACUACGUG